UUCAGUUCCAUCCUCAUGAUCUGAUUGAACCUUAAAAAUUGCUUCCCUAAAGGCCCAAUUUCCAAACACAGUUAUAUUAGGGAUUAGGACUUUUGGGGGGUAAAAUACAAUUCAAUCCAUAACAGCUAUCCACUGUUUUGACAUUUCAUCUCUUAUAGCUGUGCCCUGCAGAAGAACUAAAGGAUGCCAAUGUAAUACAGAUAACCAUGGUGUUAUUGUAUGUAAAAUUAAGUCAUUUUGGCAGAAAUGGGCUCUACUUCUGUCAUAGAAAAUCAAACAGCUGGGCUUUGUGAUGCAUGUUUCCACGACUGCUACCUGACUUACUUGCUGUACUUCUGAUUUUAGAUGGCCCUUUAUUUAUGGCUCAAAUUAAAGUCAUCUGAUCAUCAAAAGUGGUGCUAUGAUUAUAUAUUUAUUGUGGGGGUCCUAUUGCUGCUUUUCUAUUGGAACCAGUUACGAAAUACUCUGGUACUUGAGAUUUCACCUACACCUUAAAUCAGAGCCUGUGGAAGCAAAUGCUUGCAAGACCAGGAAGAUAAUGAUAGUGAGUGAUCCCUCGGUCUUUUUUGUGAAUAUAUUUUUCAUUGUAUGAAUGAGGGGUGUGUGCCCAGACAGAGGGCAGGGGGUUGUUAUGUACAGCUCCUGCCAAUUGUUGUGAUACUGGAAUUCAGACCAUCAGCCACUGAAUCAUCUAAUAUUUCAAGGGAAUCCAGAAAUCUGGAUUUUAUGAGAAAAUUUAUAAUUUUUAGUUGGAUUGAUUUUUAGAAACCACUUGAGGCUACAUAAAUUAGGUCUGUGUAUCCAAUGUAACAUGCUAUCAGUUGUUUUUCAAUUCCAAAAUAAUGAUACUCUGGUUACUUUUCUCAAGACAUAUGCAGUCUUUGGCUCUUUAGACC
rnacentral:lncRNA from 13 species